rnacentral:rRNA from 1 species
UAGCAUAUCAAUAAGCGGAGGAAAAGAAACCAACAGGGAUUGCCUUAGUAACGGCGAGUGAAGCGGCAACAGCUCAAAUUUGAAAGCUGGCCCUUUUAGGGUCCGCGUUGUAAUUUGUAGAGGAUGAUUCGGCGAGGGCUCCCGCCUAAGUCCCCUGGAACGGGGCGUCAUAGAGGGUGAGAAUCCCGUAUGCGGUGGGCUGCCUUAGCCAUGUGAAUCUCCUUCGACGAGUCGAGUUGUUUGGGAAUGCAGCUCUAAAUGGGAGGUAAAUUUCUUCUAAAGCUAAAUACCGGCCAGAGACCGAUAGCGCACAAGUAGAGUGAUCGAAAGAUGAAAAGCACUUUGGAAAGAGAGUUAAAAAGUACGUGAAAUUGUUGAAAGGGAAGCGCUUGCAACCAGACUUGUCCGCAGUUGCUCAGCCGGUCUCCUGACCGGCGUACUCUUCUGCGGCCAGGCCAGCAUCAGUUCGGGCGGUCGGAUAAAGACCUCGGGAAUGUAGCUCCUCUCGGGGAGUGUUAUAGCCCGGGGUGGAAUGCGGCCAGCCUGGACUGAGGAUCUCGCUUCGGCAAGGAUGCUGGCGUAAUGGUUGUAAGCGGCCCGUCUUGAAACACGGACCAAGGAGUCUAACAUCUAUGCGAGUGUUUGGGUGUCAAACCCAUACGCGUAAUGAAAGUGAACGGAGGUGGGAACCCGCAAGGGCGCACCAUCGGCCGAUCCUGAUGUCUUCGGAUGGAUUUGAGCAAGAGCAUAGCUGUUGGGACCCGAAAGAUGGUGAACUAUGCCUGAAUAGGGUGAAGCCAGAGGAAACUCUGGUGGAGGCUCGCAGCGGUUCUGACGUGCAAAUCGAUUGUCAAAUUUGGGUAUAGGGGCGAAAGACUAAUCGAACCAUCUAGUACCUG